AUCUGGCUCAGGAUGAACGCUAGCGGCAGGCUUAACACAUGCAAGUCGAGGGGCAGCGCGAGUAGCAUACUGGCGGCGACCGGCGCAAGGGUGCGUAACGCGUGAGCAACAUGCCCGUAUCAGGGGGGAUAAUCCAGGGAAACUUGGUCUAAUACCCCAUAGUAAUUUUGUAAGGCAUCUUAUAAGAUUUAAAGCUUUGGUGGAUACGGAUUGGCUCGCGUGACAUUAGCUGGAUGGUAAGGUAACGGCUUACCAUGGCUAUGAUGUCUAGGGGUUCUGAGAGGAAGGUCCCCCCACACUGGAACUGAGACACGGUCCAGACUCCUACGGGAGGCAGCAGUGAGGAAUAUUGGACAAUGGAUGGAAAUCUGAUCCAGCCAUGCCGCGUGCAAGGAAGACGGCCCUAUGGGUUGUAAACUGCUUUUGUAUGGGGAGCAAUAAGGGCUACGUGUAGUCCGAUGAGAGUACCAUACGAAUAAGCACCGGCUAACUCCGUGCCAGCCGCUGC
rnacentral:rRNA from 1 species